rnacentral:misc_RNA from 1 species
GAUGAAGAACGUAGCGAAAUGCGAUAAGUAAUGUGAAUUGCAGAAUUCAGUGAAUCAUCGAAUCUUUGAACGCACAUUGCGCCCCUUGGUAUUCCGAGGGGCAUGCCUGUUCGAGCGUCAUUAUAACCCCUCAAGCUCAGCUUGGUGUUGGGGCCUGCUGCACUGGCAGCCCUUAAAAUCAGUGGCGGCGCCAUCUGGCUCUAAGCGUAGUAAUUCUUCUCGCUAUGGAGUCCUGGUGGAUGCUUGCCAUCAACCCCUAAUUUUUCUAUGGUUGACCUCGGAUCAGGUAGGGAUACCCGCUGAACUUAAGCAUAUCAAUAAGCGGAGGA